GGUAACUGAAGGGCACGUGGAUGAAAGAACUACACUGGAAUUGGAAUUUCUGCUUAGUUUAUUUCAUUGCAAGACAUGCCUAUAUAUACAAACAAUAGUGAAUUCAAAAUAAAGAAUAAUGAAAAAUAUCCUAUAGACAUGUCUAAUUUCUAUUUGCUAUACUAUAACAAACUUUGUCCUAUCUAUAAUUGAAUCUUCCCAUCACUAUCUAAAUAUGCUUGUUGAUCAAGAUUGUCUUGAUCGUGUGGCUCAUGUGAUUUUGUCAACUUUGGAUGGUUGAGAUGAAACCAUUAUUUGGGCUGGAUUUUCAUCAGCUGAAAAUUGAUGACAUCUUUGGUCCAGAGUUGGAUAAUUCUUUGAGCCCAAUGUUUUAAAUGGCCCAAUGCUAUAUUUCGUCUCUUUCUUCUUUUUGGUCAUUCUGCUGUAUUUCAAUUUCCUUUCUUCUUCAACACAUUUGGUAAUUUGAUAAUUUCUACAUCCCCCUUAAGUUGGAGGGGAAUGAAAUGAUGCCCAACUUGCGAAGAACACCAAAAUGUGCUGGUCCAGAUAACGAUUUGGUAAGCAAAUCGACUAAUUGAUCUCGCGAAGGAAGGAAUGAAAGAGAGAUUAAGCAGCCAAGUAUUGUUGUCGGAUAAAAUGGCAAUCAAGAUCCACAUGUUUGGUUCUCUCAUGAAAGACGGGGUUGCGAGCAAUAUGAAUUGCAGCUUGACUAUCAGAAUGGAUCGGAACUGGAAGAGAUGGAGAAAUGGAGAGAUCUGCUAGCAAUCAUAAGAAAUGGGGGAACCGCCUAAACUGAUGAAAAAACGACUGAUUGAUCUUCGAGUGUCUUUGUAUGAAGCCCAAUCAGCAUCGCAAAAGGCAAUCAAAGAGAAUGAAGAAUUAGAAGACAUAAAUAGACCUUGUCUAGGAUUUUUUUCUCAGGUAUUGUAGAACUCUUAAAGCUGCAUUGAAAUGACCAACACAAGGUUGCUACAUAUAUUGACUUUAAGUCAAUAUAACAAAGGAAAGAUCAUGCCUUUUGUGUGUGAGAUAGUUUAACUUACCUACUAAAUGUCUAUAAAGAGUAGGAUCAGUUAGUAGAGGUCCAAAGAAGAAGAAACAGUAGGAAGAUGAGAAACAUCAAACUCAUUAAGAAGGUCCAAUGUGUAUUUUCUUUGGCUGAGAAUAGCACCUUGUGGUUCUCUAAGAAUUUCUAUCCUUAAUAAGUGAUGCAAGUGACCAAGAUUUUUGAUUUUGAACUCAGAAUUAAGAAAA